rnacentral:rRNA from 1 species
GUGCCAGCCGCCGCGGUAAUACGGAGGGUGCAAGCGUUAUCCGGAUUCAUUGGGUUUAAAGGGUGCGCAGGCGGAUUAUUAAGUUAGUGGUGAAAUCCCGGGGCUCAACCUCGGAACUGCCAUUAAUACUGGUAAUCUGGAAUACGGUUGAAGUGGGCGGAAUGUAGCAUGUAGCGGUGAAAUGCAUAGAGAUGCUACAGAACACCGAUCGCGAAGGCAGCUCACUAAGCCGAUAUUGACGCUCAGGCACGAAAGCGUGGGGAGCGAACAGGAUUAGAUACCCUGGUAGUCCACGCCGUAAACGAUGAUAACUCGUUGUUGGCGACACACAGUCAGCGACUAAGCGAAAGCGAUAAGUUAUCCACCUGGGGAGUACGAUCGCAAGGUUGAAACUCAAAUGAAUUGACGG